UUGACCUCGUAUAUCCCGCCCCAUUUGUUCCACUCACCAACUAGCUAUGGACUCCGAGACCCACCAACGACGUCGUCGAGGCAAUGCAACACACAACACCGUCAUAACGGAGAAGAGGUUGAAACGCAGCGAGGUACUCGCAAAGAAGAAAGCCUUUGAACAACUCAUCAAAGCAGCACAUGCCGAAAAGGAUCACCUAGCAUCUUUUCCCUCUUAUCGUCACUUCCAAAUUAACGGUCUCUCAGUGUGUUUGAAGUCAGGAUAUGGCAAUAAACUUUCCUCUACUGUUAAACAAUACAUUCAGACUCUCCUUAAGCUUAACAUGGAAGGACCAUAUGGAUCUGAGUGGCAAGAGGAAGAAAAGGUGAAGCGCAGGGAAAUGGUUGAUCAUGAAGCACGUUAUAUAUUUGUGCACGAGGUUGCCAAUUCAAAUGCCGAUGACAUGACAACGGAAGAUACUUCAACUAGUUGUUUAGAAAAUGGUGGCCCCUUGGUUGGAUUUGUACAUUACCGUUUUGUUUUGGAAGAAGAGGUACCGGUGCUUUAUGUGUAUGAACUACAGCUUGACUCUCGUGUUCAGGGGAAAGGAUUAGGAAAGUUUCUAAUCGAACUAAUCGAGCUUAUUGCCCAAAAGAACUGCAUGGGUGCUGUCAUGCUAACUGUUCAAAAGGCAAACUUAUUAGCUAUGAAUUUCUAUAUAAGUAAGCUGAGAUAUAUCAUAUCAUCCACGUCGCCUUCUAAAGUUAAUCCAAUGAUCGAGAAGAGUUAUGAAAUUCUUUGCAAAACAUUUAAUGACGAGGCUAAAACUGUUUUUGAGGUGACUGAAAGCAAAAGCUUUUGAUUGCAUACAAUAUAUGAAUGUUGUGCUCAUUUGAGUUGAUGACACGUCAAUCGUAUUCUUGUAAAAGUAUGCUUGAUAUUCCUACCCCAAUGUCGACUAAACCUAUGAAUUGUAGCUUCUCAUAUAAACUGCAUUGGGAUGUAAGAAAUCUAAAACGAGAAAUACUUAUUUGUAUGAGACGAAAGUUAAUGAAAUAUGUGGCUGCUAUCUUCACCGUUUAACAUUCACCAAUGUCAGGUGUAUGACCAAAUCCCGAAGUGGCAUUUCCUAAUAUUCCGCCAAAUCAGGUUUCGCGUGUUUCGUUUGUCAAAAUUAUCGUACUAAAUAGUAGAACUCUUACAAAACUGACGAGCAAACAAAUGCUCAGUAACUUUAUGUUACUUUUGUUGAAUAUGUUUACAAUGUGGGUUGCAUUGUGACAAGAAUAUAAAACAAACUGGCACUAUGAUAGUAAAUGACCUCCAAUCAUGAGGACUUAUAGUAGGAAGAAGUCCAUAAAUCCAAGUGAGCUUCAAAAAUAAUUGUAUAACCAGAAAAUGGAGACUAAGAGAUGGGAAAGGAAAGUUGGUUGUUUUUUUUAUUGGUUGGUUAGGAGAGACUUGACUCUCAAUUGCUUGGUGGUUACUUAAUGUUACUGUCCUUCUCUUGACU